rnacentral:rRNA from 1 species
UACGUAGGGUGCAAGCGUUAAUCGGAAUUACUGGGCGUAAAGCGUGCGCUGGCGGUUUGGUAAGACAGAUGUGAAAUCCCCGGGCUUAACCUGGGAAUUGCAUUUGUGACUGCCCGGCUAGAGUGUGUCAGAGGGGGGUAGAAUUCCACGUGUAGCAGUGAAAUGCGUAGAGAUGUGGAGGAAUACCGAUGGCGAAGGCAGCCCCCUGGGAUAACACUGACGCUCAUGCACGAAAGCGUGGGGAGCAAACAGG